rnacentral:rRNA from 1 species
CGCGUAGGCGGCUUGUACAGUCAGACGUGAAAUUCCUGGGCUCAACCUGGGGGCUGCGUUUGAUACGUGCGGGCUUGAGUUCGGAAGAGGGUCGUGGAAUUCCCAGUGUAGAGGUGAAAUUCGUAGAUAUUGGGAAGAACACCGGUGGCGAAGGCGGCGACCUGGUCCGAUACUGACGCUGAGGCGCGAAAGCGUGGGGAGCAAACAGGAUUAGAUACCCUGGUAGUCCACGCCGUAAACGAUGUGCGCUGGAUGUUGGGUGACAUAGUCAUUCAGUGACGUAGCUAACGCGAUAAGCGCACCGCCUGGGGAGUACGGCCGCAAGGUUGAA